rnacentral:lncRNA from 1 species
CUUUAUAUAUAUGUACACUCUCUCUUAAAAGAGAGGCUUUGGGAUUACUGUUCAUCCAUGUCAUAGGCCUUUUCACACUGUUCCUUAGCUUGUUCCAAUAAUGGUUCUUCUAUAGUUUCAAGCGAAACAUGCUCUCUUCUUUCGACCAUCAUAUGAAACCCUAACUUACUGUUAUAAAUCCGACGGAUCGAAUGAUAAUCCUAUUGGGAAGGGUUGAAUUGGAUUUUAUGGAAGCUUGAUUUGGUUGUUGUUGUUCUUUUAAGAUAAAUUUGGGAUUCAGUUUGAGUCUUAGGAAUAUGAAAUUUUGAAUUAGAAAUUGGGUUUCUAAUUUCUUCUGAGAAUCAUAGUUCAUGGGAUUAAAGAGGGGAAACAUAUUAUGCUUUGUGUUGUGCAAAGUGAAGUAUGAUUCUAUUUGAUUGACAAAAUAUAGGAAUAUUUUUGACACGGUGUGGCAAAGGGUUUCGUUGGAGACACAAUUGAAAAGAUCCCAAGGAGGACAAUUGCUAAAGAUAAAAGUAUUGAUGAUUAUGGGGAGAGAGUUUCUUCAUCAGACUGUCUUCAGGUACUAUUAAUCACAAAUAAUAA